rnacentral:rRNA from 1 species
AGAGUUUGAUCCUGGCUCAGGAUAAACGCUGGCGGCGUGCCUAACACAUGCAAGUCGAACGCUCUGAGGGGGCAACCUUUCAGAGAGUGGCGGACGGGUGAGGAACACGUGGGUUAUCUACCUUGAGGUGAGGAAUACCGGCGAGAAAUCGCCGACAAUACCGCAUAGCUUUGUCUUCGGACAAAGAAAGCUGAGCAAUC